AUGAGGUUAUGGAGAAUGAUAUGCUUAAAGAGAUUGCAGAUGCUCAUGGAAAGUCUGUUGCACAAAUUUCUCUGAGAUGGUUAUAUGAACAAGGAAUCACUUUUGUUCCAAAGAGCUAUGAUAAGGAGAGAAUGAGUCAAAAUUUGAGAAUCUUUGAUUGGACACUGACAAAGGAGGAUCAUGAGAAAAUUGAUCAAAUUAAGCAGAAUCGUUUGAUCCCUGGACCAACCAAGCCAAGUCUCAAUGAUCUUUGGGAUGAUGAAAUAUAAAAGAAAAGUUGCUAAAGUUAUUCAACUUUGCUUUGGCAUCUAUCUUUUCUGUUUAUUUUAUACUACUUGUUUCUUUUGAGCUUUGAAUUACCAAUGUUUUUGUAUUGGGUUUAAAUGAUCAAUUUUAAAUUUAAUAAUUUUCUCCAACAUAUCUUAUAAUAGUGUUUUACUUUACUGUCAUGAAAAUUGUAAUUUUUUUUAUCAAAAAAAAUUGUAUUGACUUGAUUAUACAAUUCAAUUAUAGGAUGUGUGUCCAACAAGUAAUAAUAUUAUACUAAGAAGUUGAAAGAGUGGUAUACAACUAAUAUCAAAACUUAAGAAUGCAUAAUCACCACAUUAUAACCCAACAAGCAGAAUGGUAGUUUGCAUUAUAUUUAAGAAAUUUAUGUUCAUGAUAGUGUGAAUGAGAAAUCAAUGAAAUUGUCCCAUGUAGAAAUGAGCAGUGCUAUAAACACUAAUUUGUUGAAUCCAUUUUUAAAAUGUUCAAUCUAAAUCAUAAUGGGCAACAAGAGUCAUGAUUGUCCUAAAAUAAUCUUUCGAUGAAACCGGCGAGAAAGUAUCUUUAAAGCCAAUCUCUUCCUUUUGAGUAUAAUCCUUAACAACAAGAUGGGUUUUAUACAUUUCCACAUUAUCGUUAAAAUCCUGCUUGGUCUUAAAAAUUCAUUUGCAACCAAUUGGUUUCACACCUUAUGGUAACAGGACAAGUUCCCAAACUUUAUUGUCUUGCAUGGACUUAUACCCCUCCUUCAUUGCUUCAAUUCACUUUUCCAAGUUGUAAUCUUGCAUGGAUUGAGGAAAGUUGAUUGGAUCAUCUUCCAUCAUACCAUUAUUUUCCUCAUGUUCUUGGAGAAAGAAUAUGUAAUCAUCCGGAAUAGCAUUUCUCCUUUCUCUAGUGGAUCUCCGCAAAGGUAUUGGUUCUUGUAACACUGGUUCUUGAGAAUCUUGAGUUUGUUCUUCAUGAAUUACUAAAUCAUCUUGAGUUUGAGGAAUUUCAACAAUUUCUUGUUGAGGUGUCGUUCUUACUUGAUCAAAAGCAACUAUUUGAAUUGGUUCUGGAAUUGUUAUAGAUUUUUCCUCUAAGACAAAGUCUCUAACCUUAUUAUUCCCCCCAAACUCAAUAUCCUCAAAAAAUAUGGUUGUUCCCGUCUCCAAAAUUGAAUUGAAUUUGGGAUCGUAAAAUUUGUAGCCCCUAGAUCUUUCAGAAUAGUCAAUAAAGUAGUUGCUUAUUGUUCGGGAGUCCAAUUUAUUUUCAUUUGGCAUGUAAGGUCUUAACUCAACUAGACAUCCCCACACAUGAAAAAAAAUUAGACUAGGCUUUCUCCUAGUCUAAAGCUCGUAAGGUGUUAUGGCAGUUGCCUUUAUUGGUACUCUAUUUAGGAUGUAAGUUGCAGUCUUUCUCCCCAGAGUGACUCCGGCAAGGUAGAAUGACAAAUCACACUCCUUACCAUAUUCUUAAGAGUCCGAUUUCGUUUUUCAGCAACACCAUUCAUAUUAUGAGAUCAUGGCAUGGUGUAUUGUGGGACGAUUCCACAUUCCUCCAGAUAUUUGGAAAAAGACUUUGGACGCUGUCCACCUGAACCGUCAUAUAUGUCGUAAUAUUCACCGUCACUGUCAGACUUGAUUUUCUUAAGUCUUUUGUUGAGUUGAUUCUCAACUUCAACCUUAAACGAUUUGAACACAUCCAAUGAUUGUGACUUUUCAUGUAUAAUAAAUAUGUGCGCAUAUCUAGAAUAGUCGUCUAUGGAUGAUAUAAAAUAUUGUUGCCCAUUCCAAGAAGGUGUGAUAAAUGAUCCACAAAUGUUUGUAUGUAUUAAUUUUAAGACAUCUAUAGCUCUAUAUGCAACAUAUGUCUUUGUUUUGGUUUGUUUACCUUUAACGCACUCAACACAAACAUCAAAGUUUGUGAAUUCAAUGGAAUCCAAAAUUCCAUCGGACACUGGUCGCUCAACUCUAUUUUAAGAGAUGUGAACAUAUGCACUUGUGUCAUAGUGCUCCUGAAUUGUUAUCAUCAAUUUUACGCUUAGUACCACGUGAUUCCACAAUUAAGGAUUUGCCAUAUGUAGCUAUUAUGUCAAGCAAAUAUAGAUUAUUAUGACCCGUAAGUGAUCAGUUACAACAAUAUCUGAAGUGAAAUACAACUUGAACAUAUUGUUUCCAAAUGAACAAAAGUAACUUGAUUUUUCCAAAUAAGAAACUGAAAUUAAGUUUCGUCUGAAUGACGGAACCACAAAAGUGUUUUUCAAAUCCAAAUAAAAUCUGAUACACAUCAAUAAAAUAAAAUUCCUUACAGCUUCCACCUCUACCGAAUUGCCAUCUCCCACAUAGAUUUAUCUUUCAACAUCAUUUGGAUUCCGGUAGUUCAGGUAACCCUUCAUUGAAACAUUGAUGUUAGUAGUUGCUCCAGAGUCUAACCACCAAGUGUUUCCAGGUUCCUGAAGCUAAAUUGACCUCAGAACAAACCAAACCAUGACUUAUGCGAUUGGAGCGAUCCCGCUUCUCAUAAUUUUUCCUCUGUUUAGAGGUACUAGAUUCCGUAGGAGAAGAUGGUUUCUUCAUCCUUAAUGCAAGGUCAAGAUCCAUGUAGCCAGGAACAAUUUUUAUGUUUUCAUGCCAAUCCUUAAAAUUUAUCCCAUUAAGGACCGGAACCUUAUUCAUAUUAGCAUAUAUUAAAGCAAUUGUAGUUGAAAAAUAGAACAUAAUAAAUACUAUAAUAUACUUAUACAAAAAAAAAACCGAAUUAUAAAUUUGUUCAAAUAAAGACAUAACCCAUCUUAAGAUACCUAGUACAACAUCACUAUUGAGUCUUUGGACACUAAUAUUAACUGAUAGUGGUACUCUUGUUGUAACGAUUAAACAUUGAUAAUAAAAAAAUGUCAGAUAAUAAACCCCUCUUUGGAUUGAUUUAUUAUUCGCAUGUGAAACCUUAUAAUUAUAACAUGUUUACCAUCACAGACGCGUAUGAAAACUGACCAACCACCAACUGUCCUUUGGGUCAAUUGAUACUCGCAUGGAUAAGCAUACACAGCCAGAAAAAUAUUUAACAUUUUUCAUAAGUAAUUUCCACAAAAGAGAUCACUUUGGCGAUUUUUCAUUUCAACAACUCACUUAAAAGAUUAAACUUUGUAUAAAUUUAAAAACCAUAGCCAAAACUUGAACAAAAUUAUACAAAAAUUAAUGGAUGAAAUAACUAAGGGGCAUGAUCAUACAAACAAAAACGACAUGCCUGUGUUCCAAUCAGUGCUCUCUUUAUUAUGCGAAGCACAACAAAACAAUAACAAGUAAUAUAUUAUAUAUUAAUACUGAUAAUAAAAACAAAUUUAACAAAAUUAUUUAUUUAUUAUCAAAAUAACUUGUUUUAAUAAAUAAAUAAAAUUAAACAUAAACUUUAAAACAUGUGUGGCUCUAAAUUGUGUGUGACGUGUAUUAAGAAGGUUGUCAAUGCAAGGUAUGCAUUAACAGAACCUUAUUUUAAACAUUAUCGUGAAGACAUCACAUUAUCAAACGCAUAUGCAGUAAGGUGGAUCAAUAAUAUUCCAUUGGAAAAGUGGACUAGGGCAUGCGACAACGGUCAACGAUGGGGUCACAUGACAACAAAUCUUGUGGAAUCAAUGAACUUUGUCUUCAAAGGCAUCUGAAACCUACUUAUAACCGCUCUAGUGUAAGCAACUUAUUUUAGGCUAGGGACGCUGUUUUAGAUCAGACGUUCCAAAUGAAGUUUAGUGUUACAAUUUGGGCAGUUGUUCAGUGAUGCUUCAAUGAAAUUUAUUAAAGAGGAAGUUGUCAAAGCUAACACACAUGUGGUCAUGGUGUUUGACCGUACUAAAGGUUGAUACAGUGUUACUGGGUCAAUGGAUCACAAUGAAGGCAUGUCGAGGGAACACUAUCAAGUGGAACUAGAUAAAAGGUGGUGCGAUUGCGGAAAGUUUCAAGCAUUUUGUAUGUCAUGCUCCCAUCUCAUAGCGGCAUGUUCAAAGGUUCGACGGGAUCCUUCUAACUUAUUAUGUGACAUUUACAAAGUCAUAAUCAUUUGUAAUGUUUACAAAAUUAGCUUUUAGGUGGUAGCAAAGGAGGAUUACUGGUCUGCAUAUCAAGGGGACACUCUCUGACACAAAAAAAUAAUGUGAAGAAAGAAAAAGGGUCGCCCAAACAACACCCGUAUUCGAACCGAAAUGGAUACGACAAACAAAAUGGUUAGAUUGUGUAGUUCAUGUCGUCAUCCUGGUCAUAAGCACAACAAGAUAAUUUUAAUUGUAACUCUUUUACUUUAUAUUAAAAACAACAUUCAUUUCAUAUGACAAGUAGAACAAAUAUAAUGAUUAAACAACAACACAAGAAACUAAAACCAAUAAAAUAACGUCACAAAUAAAUACAACACAUAAACAAUAUAACUAUACGGUUACAACCAUCAAAACAAUUUUGUGAGAAGUAUACAUCAUCAUGUGAACGUCUCUGUCAGUUUUAAUAUUGACACAGAAACGAACUUCUCCAGUUUGGUUGAACGUCGUAUAAAGUCAUUGAAUUCUUCUGAUCCUUUCACCAUCUGCAAUGUCUUCAUCUAACCAACGGUUUAAGUACCUGUUAAGAUGUUCGAACUUAUCUACAUUCCAAAGUCGAAUCUUGAUCGGAGACUGCACUACUGAAAAGAUUAAAUCGCCACUUCUCUUGUGAAGACAUUUUAAAGAAUAUCAAAGGAGAUUGAAGAAAAAUGGAAUGAGAGAAUAAGAAGUUGUGUGAAAAAUUAUGGGAGUGUGAUGUUGUGUAUUUAUAGAUGCAGUGGUGGAGCAGUAGCCACAUGCAUUGGCGUACACGUAGAGUGGACUAUGCAUGCGCCAUUGUGUGUGGCACCUACACAUGCAUGCGCCACGGAUGUGUCAAUGCAUAUGGCGUCAAUGACUAAUAUUUUCAUUGGGUGCACCAAUGCAACUGGCACCUAGGUUAGAUGUUUUUUUGAAAGAUGAUUAUUUCGGUAAAUACUUUAAAAAAAUGGUUAUUUAAAAAUUUUAUUAAAAAAAUAGAUUAUUUAAAUAUAAAAAAAUCACCUCAAAUUAAUAAUACAAAUUAGAUUAUCAUGCACAACUUCUGACUUUUUUUCAAAAUUUAAAAAAAAAUAACUUAUUUAAUUAACAUAAUAAUUUUUAAGAAAUUAAAUAUGACCGUUUAUUAAUUAAGAAUUAAAGUGAGGGAAAUCCUCAAACCUUAAUUUAAUCUUUGAUUUGAACUCCAAUAUCUUAAGCCUUAUUCUUGAAUUUCUCAUUCCAAUUAAAUUAUUUAUAAGAUUAAACGAAUCAUCAAGAUAAGAAAAUGAUUCAUUUUUAAAUUGAUGUUAUAAUGAUAAUACGAUAUUUAUUAAUACUUUACAUACACUUUAAUAUAUUUCAGAAUAUUUAAAUUGUUCAUGAAUUGAUAAUUUUUUUUGUGUGAAUAUCAUAUUAUUUUUAUUUUUUUAGCAUGAAAGCUAAAGAAGUAAAAAGAAAAAUAUCCAAUUGUUUUUGUUGGUAGUAGCACCGGUUUGACAAGAAUUUGUUCGAUCCGGGUUUGCGUAUGCUCAUUGCUCAACUUGUUCCAAUUUGGAUUUUGGUGACAAACUUUAAUUCCCUGUCACCCACAAAAUAACACAAUAGCAGCCCCUUGCUCUGUAGAAAGGUCGUAACAUAAUUUCUCAAAUUCUUACUUUCUUUUUAGUAUUAAGAAACUCUCAAAUUUAUUUAUGGAAGAAUUACGUAAAAACCUAAGUUCGUGCCAUUAACUUGCCACCCUACAAGUCACUCUUAGAAAGAAUUUUAUAAAUAAAUAAACUUUUAUUAUUAUUAUAAAAUCUAGAUGGCUACCAAUAGUCAAUAAGAUAGCGAUGCAACAUGCAAAUUUCUAUACAAAAUGAAACAAACAAAAAAGGAGUCAAACAUGUAAUGUAUUAAUUAUAUACAUGCCACCACAAACUUUACUCAUUACAAUAUUAUUCAAUUAAAUCAAAUCAAGUGGUAGAAAUUAUCAUAAUCCACCUACCCUCUAAACAACAAAUAGAAUAGAAUAAUGCUACUCACCAUUUUUUAGCUAUAUAUAAUAGUUUCUAGCAUCAAACAUAAUACCUCAAAUUGAAACAACCUUACCUUAAACCUUCUCAACCCAACAACAACAACAAAAACAACAACAUGGGCAGUGUUGAAAUUCCAACAAAGGUUCUUACCAACACAUCUGCUCAAAUUAAGAUGCCUGUGGUUGGAAUGGGAUCAGCACCUGACUUCACAUGCAAGAAAGACACUAAAGAAGCAAUCAUCGAAGCCAUCAAACAAGGUUACAGACACUUUGAUACUGCUGCUGCUUAUGGCUCCGAACAAGCUCUUGGUGAAGCUUUGAAUGAGGCUAUUCAACUUGGUCUUGUCACUAGAGAACAGCUUUUUGUUACUUCUAAACUCUGGGUUACUGAAAAUCAUCCUCACCUUGUUCUUCCUGCUCUACAAAAAUCUCUCAAGUAAGUAAACUAGAAUUAGUCACUUUUGUUAUCUCUAUCGCGAAAGAGACUUAUUGGAUUUGUUGAUUAUUUUGUGCAGGACUCUUCAGUUGGAUUACUUGGAUUUGUAUUUGAUUCAUUGGCCACUUAGUUCUCAGCCCGGAAAGUUUUCAUUUCCAAUUGAUGUGGCUGAUCUACUACCAUUUGAUGUAAAAGGUGUGUGGGAAUCCAUGGAAGAAGCUUUGAGACUUGGACUCACGAAAGCUAUUGGUGUCAGUAACUUCUCUGUCAAGAAACUUCAAAAGCUACUAUCUGUUGCCACUGUUCUUCCUGCUGUUAAUCAAGUAAGUCAUUAACCAAUCAUGAAUUUAGAUUAAAACUUUGAUUGAUUAUCAAUAUGUAUUUAUAUAAUGUACUUGUGUAUGUAUGUAUAGGUGGAGAUGAACCUUGCAUGGCAACAAAAGAAGCUGAGAGAGUUUUGCAAUGAAAAUGGAAUAGUGUUAACUGCAUAUUCACCGUUGAGGAAAGGUGCAAGUAGAGGAGCCAAUGAGGUUAUGGAGAAUGAUAUGCUUAAACAGAUUGCAGAUGCUCAUGGAAAGUCCGUUGCACAAAUUUCUCUGAGAUGGUUAUAUGAACAAGGAAUCACUUUUGUUCCAAAGAGCUAUGAUAAGGAGAGAAUGAGUCAAAAUUUGAGUAUCUUUGAUUGGACACUGACAAAGGAGGAUCAUGAGAAAAUUGAUCAAAUUAAGC
rnacentral:lncRNA from 1 species